AAUACGGUUCUUUUUAGAACCACCAUUAUCACGAAAGAGUUGUUCU
rfam:Culex pipiens quinquefasciatus supercont3.43 genomic scaffold, whole genome shotgun sequence.